rnacentral:rRNA from 1 species
UUGACCUCGGAUCAGGUAGGAAGACCCGCUGAACUUAAGCAUAUCAAUAAGCGGAGGAAAAGAAACCAACAGGGAUUGCCCUAGUAACGGCGAGUGAAGCGGCAACAGCUCAAAUUUGAAAUCUGGCUUCGGCCCGAGUUGUAAUUUGCAGAGGAAGCUUUAGGCGCGGCACCUUCUGAGUCCCCUGGAACGGGGCGCCAUAGAGGGUGAGAGCCCCGUAUAGUUGGAUGCCUAGCCUGUGUAAAGCUCCUUCGACGAGUCGAGUAGUUUGGGAAUGCUGCUCAAAAUGGGAGGUAAAUUUCUUCUAAAGCUAAAUACCGGCCAGAGACCGAUAGCGCACAAGUAGAGUGAUCGAAAGAUGAAAAGCACUUUGAAAAGAGGGUUAAAUAGCACGUGAAAUUGUUGAAAGGGAAGCGCUUGUGACCAGACUUGCGCCGGGCGGAUCAUCCGGUGUUCUCACCGGUGCACUCCGCCCGGCUCAGGCCAGCAUCGGUUCUCGCGGGGGGAUAAAGGUCCUGGGAACGUAGCUCCUCCGGGAGUGUUAUAGCCCG